UGGGGAAUCUUGGACAAUGGGCGCAAGCCUGAUCCAGCCAUGCCGCGUGAGUGAAGAAGGCCCUAGGGUCGUAAAGCUCUUUCGCCUGUGAAGAUAAUGACGGUAGCAGGUAAAGAAACCCCGGCUAACUCCGUGCCAGCAGCCGCGGUAAUACGGAGGGGGUUAGCGUUGUUCGGAAUUACUGGGCGUAAAGCGCGCGUAGGCGGAUUGGAAAGUUGGGGGUGAAAUCCCGGGGCUCAACCCCGGAACUGCCUCCAAAACUAUCAAUCUAGAGGUCGAGAGAGGUGAGUGGAAUUCCGAGUGUAGAGGUGAAAUUCGUAGAUAUUCGGAGGAACACCAGUGGCGAAGGCGGCUCACUGGCUCGAUACUGACGCUGAGGUGCGAAAGUGUGGGGAGCAAACAGGAUUAGAUACCCCCGUAGUCC
rnacentral:rRNA from 1 species